CACUCAAGAUGGCGAAACCUCGGCCGCCGCGGCUAUAUUCGCCGCGGCGUCACUGCCUUCCUGGCCUGGUGGUGAGAGGAAGUCGGGCCGCGAAAGCUUCCUGAGGAGAAAAUGGAGGGCCCUUCUCUCACACCGACGAGAAAAGUUCGAGGGGGAAAUACGAGUUCCUUUCUGAAGGGACAGGACGGCUGCUUUUCCACAGCCGCGACGUGAUUGAGAAAUGGUGGCUGGCAAGGGUAGGCCUGCCUUCGCCCCUCCAAAGUAAAAAUCGGGAGUUGAGACCAGAGGAACAUCUCUUUAUUACAUGACUAAGGAUAUGUUUUGAAAACUGGCCCCCGGGCAGCUGCUCGGGGACAGGAAGCUGACCUGACUUCUCCAGCUGGCCGGGGAGGCUGAUGCCGGGCCUAAGGGGCCGCGUCCGAGCCUCUCGGGGCGCGCCUCCAUGCAGGAAGGCGCGGAACUAGCGACCCGGAGACGCCGGGCGCGCGUCUGAGUGUGGGGGCAGGAAGGGGGGCCGACCGGGCCCGGAGGCCGCACCAGGCAGGAGGGAGGACUCCAGAGAGUGCGCGGGGGGCGCUGCGCGGUGGGACGGGGCGAGCCUGUAGGGCGCGCCUGGCGGCGGGUAGGCUCCGGGCUUGAGGGUGCGCCUGGGGGCGCUGGUUGUGGGGGAAGGCACCGGGCUUGAGGGUGCACCUGGGCGGGGGAAGUCUUCGGGCAUGAGGGCGCGCCUGCGGGUGGUAUGGGGGGGUACACCGAGCUUGAGGGUGCGCCCGGGGGGCUCUCAUGUGAAGGGUACCAGGCUUGAGGGCGCCCCUGCGGGGGGCGCAGAGGCACCGAGCUUGAGGGUGCGCCUCGGGGGUCUGCGGGGGGAAGGCACCGGACUUGAGCGUGCGCCGGGAGAGGACGGCGGGGGACCGGACUGUGAGGGCGUAUCUUGGGGGACCUGUCUAGGAGGAACCGGGAGGUGAAGGCACAACUGGGGGUGAGGCGGGGGCAGGGGCCGGGCUGUGAGAGUGCGACUGAGGGGGGAUUACUCCGGAGAGCACGGAGCUGGGGGCGUUGCGCAGGUGGAGUGGGGAGGCCUGGUGGAGAGGGUAGCAAACCGAGAGAGCGCACCGGGGUGGUGGGGGGAGAAGCUGGACUGUAAGGUGAAGAGUUAGUAGGGCGCAACCGUCUUCUCCUGCCCUCGAAGGGCAAGACUGAAGAAAGUAGGGGCGGAGGAGGCCGGGCCCUCCACUAAAGGGAGGGAAGCUAGUGAAGCGUCAGUUAUAAUAGAAAUAGGAAUUCAGUAAGGAAAUGGAGAAGCUUAAGGCAAAGGGUGACUCUCCGGCCUGACCCUCACUAUGAAGAUAUUUAUGUAUGUUCCCAUAAUACUUUUCAGAUCCCAAUGUCUGUGUUUAUCCUUGACAGAAAUAAUAGAACUGCUGUCUUCUUCCAAGUUAAACAAAACUUUGGAGCUAAAAGCUAGCUAGGUCAAGAGAAACAAAAUCUAAUCCUCACCCAAUUGAGAGACUGAAUAUACAAAGAAUGGCCAAACCUAACCAUGACCUCCUACCCAUAACCUCUUCAGUAAUCGGCCAGAAGGGUCAGGACUUAAUCUUUAACCGGCAGCUUCCCUAUUUCUUGCCCCUGCUUCCAGCUCUGGGCCAAUCAGAGAAAGCCAAAUGUGCUCCUCACACCAAUCGCGUAAGAAGCCCUGCUUCUAGUAUAGCCCUCCUCCAACUUCCCGAUGCCAACAUCCUCCAAUCAGAGCCAACCUGAAGUUUCUCCCUUUUUUCAGUAUAUGUAAAGCUUUUCCACUCCCCUGCCUGCCUAUGAGUCUGUUAAAUCAAGUGAUGGGUCGCGGCUGACUCUUGCCAGCUCUGAGUAAAUAGCCUAUUCUCA
rnacentral:lncRNA from 10 species